rnacentral:rRNA from 1 species
UACGUAGGGGGCAAGCGUUGUCCGGAAUCAUUGGGCGUAAAGAGCGCGUAGGCGGUCCGGUAAGUCCGCUCUGAAAGUCCGGGGGCUCAACCCCGGGAGGCGGGCGGAUACUGUCGGGCUAGAGUCCGGAAGAGGCGAGUGGAAUUCCUGGUGUAGCGGUGAAAUGCGCAGAUAUCAGGAAGGAACACCCAUGGCGAAGGCG